AUUGAACGCUGGCGGCAGGCCUAACACAUGCAAGUCGAACGAGUGGCGGACGGGUGAGUAAUGUCUGGGAAACCGCCUGAUGGAGGGGGAUAACUACUGGAAACGGUAGCUAAUACCGUAUACCACCAGCUGUGCCCAGUUGGGAUUAGCUAGUGGGUGGGGUAACGGCUCACCAAGGCGACGAUCCCUAGCUGGUCUGGUAGGAUGACCAGCCACACGGGAACUGAGACACGGUCCAGACUCCUACGUGAGGCAGCAGUGGGGAAUAUUGCACAAUGGGCGCAAGCCUGAUGCAGCCAUGCCGCGUGUAUGAAGAGGGCCUUCGGGUUGUAAAGUACUUUCAGCGGGGAGGCGUUACCCGCAGAAGAAGCACCGGCUAACUCCGUGCCAGCAGCCGCGGUAAUUC
rnacentral:rRNA from 1 species